UGACGGCGGAGCAGCAGGCCGACCCCGCCACCUACGCCGACUGCAUCCACUGGUGUCUCCCGGGCCUUCCGGACACCUGGAACGAGUUCCUGUUCGCCCGCAUCGCUUCACGGCCAUGGCGCACCUAAACACGCAAAACUUGUAAUAAUCAUUAUUACAUCAUUACACAUAAAUAUUCAAUUAAAAUAAAUGAAAAAGAUCUUUGGAAAUUGGAUGAACUUAGAUAUCAAGAAGAGCUGAUGGUUCAUCGAAGCAGGACUAGAACAGGGGAAGGCCUUUGCCGAUCGAUGUUGAAUACAAUAAGAUACUGGCUUUGUCUGCUAGCCAUUAUUGAAGGCAGCUGAUGGUGCUAAGACACGCAGCUGCAUAUUAUUUUGCUGGGUUGGGAGAAACACUUU
rnacentral:lncRNA from 1 species